UCCGAUAUGGUGUAGUGGCUAACAUCCGGCACUCUCACUGCCGAGCCCGGGGUUCGAUUCCCCCGUAUCGGAG
rfam:Magnaporthe poae ATCC 64411 unplaced genomic scaffold supercont1.4, whole genome shotgun sequence.